GAAAAUGUCUUCAAUCUAUCUAGACCAUGCCAUAUUAGCGGCUUGGUUUACUAGCCCAAAAGAUUGAUGCGCCCAUUGGGAAGAAAAUAUAUUUAUCUGGCUAGAUAGUAUGAUGCAUCCUACACGGCAAAUUAGUUAGAAGGCCUCAUGUUCAUUUGCAAGGUUCGACGAGUGUAUUAUGUCAAUGGUUCUGAUCGCAUUUAUGAACUCGUUUAC
rnacentral:lncRNA from 1 species